GAACACUGAAUACCGGGAUGUUUGCAUUUACGCAUCAAAUUGGCAACUUGCAAGACGCCAGUGGUAAUUUCAGGAACUCUAUUCAUGAUUUCAAUAGUUUCAGUCACAAAGUAAAUAUGAACAUAUUAGAUGAAUAGACACAUUCAUUCAUCACUUAAAAUCUAUAAAAACCAAUAUAAUAAUAAUAUUGAUACUUUAUUUCAUUAGUGGCAAAAAUAGAACUAAAACUGGAUAAAUGUCUCCGAACCGGAUAUAAUGAUGACAAAACAUACAAUUCCGCUUUCUGAACAACCUUCAGGAAGUAACAUCAGAGGUAAUGUUAGUGACGCUACUACUACCACUUUGGAAGAAUACAAUCCUGAGGUUAUCGAGGAACCUCUACACGUGAGACCUUACAGCGAAAAAGCUACUGUGGCGUUACCAUAUAUUCUAUUGCUCCAUCAGGGAUAACUCCCAAUUUGGAGAAUAGAUUUAUGUACCUUUUGAAAUAGACUGGGAAAAGGCUUUUGGAUACCACUGAGUAUGAUAAAUUGAUAAUGGCUACUUAUAAACCAGGACAUGUAUUUUUAAGAAACGAGAUUGCAUCCUUAAUAAUUAAGAAUGAAUUGAAAGAUGACAAAAAUAAAAGCUUAGCCACAAUUUCAUCGUAAAAAAAUAAUUUACCAAAGGAAAUUGUUUUCUACUACAACUAAUUGGUAACAAAAAUAUGAACAAAUUACAUAAUGUUUCGAAAUUUUUUAUUUUCAAAGUUUUCUUGCUAACUUCAUAAGUAUAUAAUCAUAACAUUUUAUAUCACUUUCUUCACGGAUUUAUUUAUUUUUAUUUUCAGAAUAUCCUGUGAGAGAUUUAAAACAUUGGCACAAGAAAUUCAUGAUAUUUUUCCAUACGAAAACCCAGAAGUUCAUUAUACACCUUAUGUUAAUAAUAAAGGAAAGCCCAGGGGUGAACUUUGGUCUAAUUAUAUUUAUUCAAGGAUUCAAAUAAUUUAUUACUAGAAUAUACAUGUUUUAUUUUGGUAAAAUUUCCAUUUUGUUAAGGACUGGCAAUACCAGAAAUAAUUAUUCUUGAAGUUUUUACCUUCCACUUAACUGAAUCAAUAGGAAAAUCUUAAAAUGAGAAAUAUGGAUAGUUUGAUCCUAAAAAAUUUUACUACUCACUUAUACUAGAUAGACAUUCUCAAUGUAAUUACUUUUAUUUGGUUUUACGUCGUUUGUCAUCUUUCAAAGUUUUCAUUCAAAAUAAAAAAUAGGUCAAUGA
rnacentral:lncRNA from 1 species